rnacentral:rRNA from 1 species
AGCAAGCACCGGCUAACUCCGUGCCAGCAGCCGCGGUAAUACGGAGGGUGCAAGCGUUAUUCGGAAUCACUGGGCGUAAAGGACGCGUAGGCGGGAAGCCAAGUCUGAUGUGAAAUCCUAUGGCUCAACCAUAGAACUGCAUUGGAAACUGGUUACCUAGAGUAUGGGAGGGGGAGAUGGAAUUAGUGGUGUAGGGGUAAAAUCCGUAGAUAUCACUAGGAACACCGAAAGCGAAGGCGAUCUCCUGGAACAAUACUGACGCUAAGGCGUGAAAGCGUGGGGAGCAAACGGGAUUAGAUACCCCGGUAGUCCACGCCCUAAACGAUGAACACUAGUCGUCGGAAUGCUAGUCAUUUCGGUGAUGCACUUAACAGAUUAAGUGUUCCGCCUGGGGAGUACGGUCGCAAGAUUAAAACUCAAAGGAAUAGACGGGGACCCGCACAAGUGGUGGAGCAUGUGGUUUAAUUCGAAGAUACGCGAAGAACCUUACCUAGCCUUGACAUUGAUAUAACACACUAGAGAUAGAGUGGUGCCCUUCGGGGAAAUUGAAAACAGGUGCUGCACGGCUGUCGUCAGCUCGUGUCGUGAGAUGUUGGGUUAAGUCCCGCAACGAGCGCAACCCUCGUCAAUAGUUGCCAGCAGGUUAAGCUGGGCACUCUAUUGAGACUGCCUUCGCAAGGAGGAGGAAGGUGAGGACGACGUCAAGUCAUCAUGGCCCUUAUGGCUAGGGCUACACACGUGCUACAAUGGGGCGUACAGAGAGUUGCGAUACCGCGAGGUGGAGCCAAUCUCAUAAAGCGUCUCUCAGUUCGGAUUGAAGUCUGCAACUCGACUUCAUGAAGCUGGAAUCACUAG